CCCCAGCGCCACUAGUGGGAAUCGCUUUUAUUGGGUCUAAAGCAUCCGUAGCCGGUCUGUUAAAUGCUCUGUGAAAUCGUGGAGCUCAACUUCACGGUGUGCAGAGCACACUGACAGACUUGGGACCAGGAAAGGUAUUCGGUAUUCCGGGGGGAGCGGUAAAAUGUGAUAAUCCUCGGAGGACCACCAAUGGCGAAGGCAGAAUACUAGAAUGGAUCCGACGGUGAGGGAUGAAAGCUAGGGGAGCGAUCCGG
rnacentral:rRNA from 1 species